CCCCAAGACGUUGGUCUCUAACUAGAAAAGUAAAUGCUUGAGCUUGAGUGAGAAGGGCCUCCUCCCCCCGCUGAUAUUUUGCCUUUAUGGUGUUUACCGGGUGGGACCCUCGAUCCGGAAGGUAUGCCACUAUCAGCUACUAUCUAUAUAUGUCUGCCUCCCUUGAAAGCUCCCGGUGCUGCGACUAUCACCGGUAAGUUGCGUCGGAUCAACAUCGGGAUUAGAAUCAACUGCAAAAGCAACUAAGUCAACGCCUAUUUGCUCUGGAUCUACUGGCCCGGACGCUUGAAUCUAUUCCACCGCAAACAACCGAAUAUACUACUGUAGGCAAUUACUAUUGCUUCUGUUGUUAUUGCUCUCACCUGUCACUACGCCACCUCAGCAGCUGGGACUGGAACUGCUUCCGCAUCUGGCACUCCCCAACCUUUUCUAUCUAUCCUUAGAAGUAGGAUAAAAAAGUGUAUAAAGACCGGAUUAUCUCUCUGAAUCAGGUUAUUCACUGGGCUGU
rnacentral:misc_RNA from 1 species